rnacentral:rRNA from 1 species
UACGUAGGGUGCGAGCGUUGUCCGGAAUUAUUGGGCGUAAAGGGCUCGUAGGCGGUUUGUCGCGUCGGGAGUGAAAACGCCGUGCUUAACACGGCGCUUGCUUUCGAUACGGGCAGACUAGAGGUAUGCAGGGGAGAACGGAAUUCCUGGUGUAGCGGUGAAAUGCGCAGAUAUCAGGAGGAACACCGGUGGCGAAGGCGGUUCUCUGGGCAUUACCUGACGCUGAGGCGCGAAAGCGUGGGGAGCAAACAGG